ACAAACGCUGGCGGCAUGCCUAACACAUGCAAGUCGCACGGACAGAACAGGGAAGCUUUUCGGAGUGGAACUGGAAAGUUAGUGGCGGAUGGGUGAGUAACGCGUGGACAACCUACCUUGUAAAGGGGAAUAACCUCGAGAAAUCGAAGCUAAUACCCCAUAAUAACCUUGCUUCGCAUGAAGUAAGGAGGAAAGGCGGCCUUAGCGCUGUCGAUACAAGAUGGGUCCGCGUCUGAUUAGCUAGUUGGUGAGGUAAAGGCUCACCAAGGCGACGAUCAGUAGCCGGCCUGAGAGGGUGAACGGCCACAUUGGGACUGAGACACGGCCCAAACUCCUACGGGAGGCAGCAGUGUGGAAUCUUCCGCAAUGGGCGAAAGCCUGACGGAGCAAUGCCGCGUGAGUGAAGAAGGCCUUCGGGUUGUAAAACUCUGUCCUUAUCGAAGAGAGAGUGUUGUAGUAACUGACAAUACUAGGACGGUAGAUGAGGAGGAAGCCCCGGCUAACUAUGUG
rnacentral:rRNA from 1 species